CUCAUCGAGGCUCUGGGUGGGCAGAUCCCUGCCCUGCGGCAGACCGGAACGUACUCCCGCCGUGCACAGCAACAGGAUGAUGCUCCAUGAUGAUAAUUCCAGGACUGGCAGCGACAUGGCGUUCGCGGUUUCUCUCAACAUUCAAUUACCUUAAGUAGUUCAGAACGCCACAGGGAGGCCCACUGAGCUGCAGCGUAUCUUACGGUCGCUAAAGCUGCACCGGACAGAAUAUUACGGCGGACCCGACCAGACCCGAGCCGGCAAGAAACCGAAAGUCUCAGCGUGAUGCAAUUAUCCGUGUUUGAACGCGGAACCCAUCACUGGAGGCAUCUGGAAGCAGCAGCCAGAAUGGAAGUGCCAGCUGAUGCAUUCGGAGAGAAGGUUCUCGUCGGGGAUUGUUGCCUCUCAUUUACUGACAAUUAAAGGCAACUAAAACACUUUUCUCCUACGAAGACCCAACCAUUCGGCGACUUGGGGAAUCUCUUUUGCUCGAUUGACAAUUUUUACGAAUUUAUUCAGCAGAAAUCAUUGGCCAGCAAGGCCAGGCCAUGUGUCUCUAUUAUGUAUAUCGGCCAACAUUCAUGAACAUCUCACCCAGGAGAGGGGGCAUCGAGGACGAUGGACACAGGACACCUGCAUCCCCGCUGAUCUGAAGUACACAUCGAACUACCCUUAAAAAAUAUAACUAAAAAUGUAUGUGUAAAAAUGCAAGUU